GACGAACGCUGGCGGCGUGCUUAACACAUGCAAGUCGAACGGAAAGGCCCUGCUUGCAGGGUACUCGAGUGGCGAACGGGGGAGUAACACGUGGGUGAUCUGCCCUGCACUUCGGGAUAAGCCUGGGAAACUGGGUCUAAUACCGGAUAGGAGCCAUUUUUAGUGUGAUGGUUGGAAAGUUUUUUCGGUGUAGGAUGAGCUCGCGGCCUAUCAGCUUGUUGGUGGGGUAAUGGCCUACCAAGGCGGCGACGGGUAGCCGGCCUGAGAGGGUGGACGGCCACAAUGGGACUGGGGUACGGCCCAGACUCCUACGGGAGGGAGCAGUGGGGAAUAUUGCACAAUGGGGGGAAGCCUGAUGCAGGGACGCCGCGUGGGGGAUGACGGCCUUCGGGUUGUAAACUCGUUUCGCUAGGGACGAAGCUUUUUGUGACGGUACCUAGAUAAGAAGCACCGGCUAACUACGUG
rnacentral:rRNA from 1 species